rnacentral:rRNA from 1 species
AAUAGAUACCCCGGUAGUCCACGCCGUAAACGAUGAGUGCUAAGUGUUAGAGGGUUUCCGCCCUUUAGUGCUGCAGCUAACGCAUUAAGCACUCCGCCUGGGGGAGUACGGUCGCAAGACUGAAACUCAAAGGAAUUGACGGGGGGCCCGCACAAGCGGUGGAGCAUGUGGUUUAAUUCGAAGCAACGCGAAGAACCUUACCAGGUCUUGACAUCCUCUGACAACUCUAAAGAUAGAGCGUUCCCCCUUCGGGGGACAGAGUGACAGGUGGUGCAUGGUUGUCGUCAGCUCGUGUCGUGAGAUGUUGGGUUAAGUCCCGCAACGAGCGCAACCCUUGAUCUUAGUUGCCAGCAUUUAGUUGGGCACUCUAAGGUGACUGCCGGUGACAAACCGGAGGAAGGUGGGGAUGACGUCAAAUCAUCAUGCCCCUUAUGACCUGGGCUACACACGUGCUACAAUGGAUGGUACAAAGGGCUGCAAGACCGCGAGGUCAAGCCAAUCCCAUAAAACCAUUCUCAGUUCGGA